rnacentral:rRNA from 1 species
UACGAAGGGGACUAGCGUUGUUCGGAAUUACUGGGCGUAAAGGGCGCGUAGGCGGCCUUCUAAGUCGAACGUGAAAUCCCCGGGCUCAACCCGGGAACUGCGUCCGAUACUGGGAGGCUUGAAUCCGGGAGAGGGAUGUGGAAUUCCAGGUGUAGGCGGUGAAAUGCGUAGAUAUCUGGAGGAACACCGGUGGCGAAGGCGGCGAUCCUGGACCGGUAUUGACGCUGAGGCGCGAAAG